rnacentral:lncRNA from 1 species
ACAUACACACACAUAUAUAUAUAUAUAUAUAUAUAUAUAUAUAUAUAUAUAUAUAUAUUAUAUUAUAUAUAUGUAUGUAUAUUAUAUUAUAUAUAUGUAUGUAUAUUAUAUAUAUGUAUGUAUAUAUGUACAUAUAUAGAUAUAUAUAUUUAUAUAUAUAUAUGGCAGUGCCCCAGCAUGGCCACAGCUCGUGAGCUGAAACUAGAUAAAACAAGAUAAAAUAUUAAAAAAAUAUAUAUAUAUACACACAUAUAUAUAUAUGCAUUUACAUUUUAUAUCUACACACAUGUGCAUACACAUACAUGCAAACACAUACAUAUACAUACGCACAACUAAUAUUUGUAUAUGCAUAAGGUAUAUAUGAAAUAUAUGUAUUUGUGCAUGUAUAUACUUAUAUACGUGCGUAUAUAUAUGUAAUUCAUAUGCCUGUGCAAUAUGGUGGUAAGGAGGGGGGGGGUCUUUCAGGUUCCAUUCUUUUACUGCUAUAAGCAAAAUUACUGCGGCGUUGCUGGAGCAUUGCCUAAGAGGGUUCUCCUCAGUCGGCCGUAUCGAUCCACCCAUUUGCUUUAGUGUAGUACUUAUGUUAUCGAUAUUUAUUGAUCGGUUAGAUUUUUGAUCGUAAACAACAGGAAAAGUUUUUUCUUUCGACGCGUAUAAAAGUAAACACAGAAACAUCUCACGCAAGGAAAUUGACAUAUGUGUGUAUGUAUUUAUUUAUUUAUCUAUUUAUAUAUCUCUCUCUCUCUCUCUCUCUAUAUAUAUAUAUAUAUAUAUAUAUAUUUAUAUAUAUAUAUAUACACACACACACCUACACACAUUUUUUCUCUCCUUGUUUUUUUCUGUGUCCCUUUCUGUAGAAGAGCGUAGACUCGAAACAUAAAAGACUUUUUCUAUUCCUGAGCUUUAUACUAAUACAUCUGUUUGUUUUGUACACUACCUGUCUUUGUCUAUUGUGUUUUUUUUUUCGUAAACUCUCCCUAUAUAUAUAUAUAUAUAUAUAUUCUUUUUAUUCUUUUAUACAUUUCAGCCCAAUAGCAGUGGCCUUGCUGGGGCACCGCCAGUGUCACCCCCUUUUCAAUGGCCAUUGUUCUGUGAUAAGUUUUGGUAAAGGAGUGAGUUCGAUAUUACUACCCUCAUUUUGGUUUCUUGCUGUGAUGUGGACUCAUCUGGGACCGUGGAGAGGAAGGAGGUCCCGAGCUCAAGACAUCUACCCCUGCUCUAUGUAGAUCUCUCAGAUGUUUUGACAAGGGACCUUGGGACCUUGAAUUUCAAGUUAUUUUUGUACAUAAUCACUAGCCGGGAUGGCUGGGAUCUUUGCAACAAAGCAGUGACGUCCAGUUAGAGGGCUUGAUGCCAAAGUUUGGCGCCAGCCACUUCAAGAUCUUCCAUACGUAUAACUGCAUAUCUCUCCCGUCUUUGCUCCAGAAAAUAAAAUCGUAGCUCUUUCAGUUUCUCCCAGUAGCUCAGCUGUUCCAUUAAUGCAAUCUUCCUGGUGUAGCACUGCUGAACUGCCCCAAGUUCCGGUAUUAAUUUGAUAUCGUUGGGUGACUGGAGACUGCAGUUGAGAGUUAUAGUCCAAAGACUGUGGACAAAUGACAUCAAUAGAACUAGCAUAGUUUCCUGGUUCCUUGGUCCGAAGUUUUAUCAGACUCUAUCUGGCCAUUGGCCAGUACAUUUCCUUCAUCUUAGUGAAAUGCACGUGAAAAGAGGUGUUGUUGCUCAUAAUCCCCAGAUCACGGACUGUACUUAACUCUGGGACUGCUGCUCCUUUUCGUCCAAAGUAUCUAGGUUGCGGCAUAUUAACACAAGCUUAGAUGAUAUAGGGGUUCUUGGAAUGUGUGUGUGCGCGUGCAUGUUUGUGUGUAAGAUAUAUAUAUAUAUAUAUAUAUAUAUAUAUAUAUAUAUAUAUAUAUAUAUAUAUAUAUAUAUAAAGUAAAUUUAUAUAAAUUUAAAUUUAUUUCGUCACACUGUAUUUUGACCAUAUCUCACAUGGAAUAAAACGGCGGGCAUUUUGAACUGGCCAUGAUGCAUACGUGCAUAUAUAUAUAGGUAUACAUUCGUAUAUGUAAGUAUUCAUAUGUUGUAUUUAUAUAUAUAUAUAUGUAUUUAUGUUUCUCUUCUGUGUGUAUUCUACUGACGAGGCAAAGCAUUCAUAAAUGCAAAGUCAGAAAUCCGGAUCUAGAAUUAUCCAGUAAUUUUUUACUUGUUUCAUCGUGUCUCAUUGUUUUCUCUCCGUGUUGAUAUAUGGACAAUUUAGAUGGUUUUAAAGUCAGAUCAUGGCUGCUAUUUUCAGCAUGGUGGUAUCUCGUAGAUACCCUAAUUUAUAAUUAUAUAUAUAUAUAUAUAUAUAAAGUAUAUGUGUGUGGGGGGGGUAUGCAGAUGUGUUUAUAGGUAUAUAUGUGUAUACACAUAUUAAUGUUUACUUUGAUAAUCAGUUAAAAUGACAAUUUAACCUUUAACUGAAAAAUUACACAAUACUUUUGUCGAGCACAUAUUUACUAUAAUUUCACAAGAAAAUAAAUGACAGUAUCUUAGAAGUUCCAGCCUACUUGCCUUCAUCAGGCAGACUGAGCAGACAGAAUCUUCGAUGUGACUAUCAGCAUUCUUCUUGUAAAAGUCAUUUUCGUAUAUUCAUGUGCAUGUGAGUGUUGUGUGUAUGUCUGUAUGAGUGCGCGUGUGUGUGUGUGCAUGAGUGUGUGUGCGUGCGUGCAUGCGUGUGUGUGUGUGUGUGUGUGUGUGUGUGUGUGUGAACGCUUUCCGCGAUAGACAUACACUUCAUUUCAUCGGCUCUGACGAGGUUAUAUUUUGUUGCACCGGCACUCAACACUGAGCGCAGGUUUUUUACAGCAGAAACAGAUGUAAGCUACUGAAAAUGAUUGUGUGAUUAUUGUUCAUUUGUCACACACUAAUUAAUAUUACGCUCUGUAUCCACCUGAUGUUUCUUUACUCUAAACUGUUAAGUAUAUUCGAUUGCAACAACUCGUUAUUAGGAUCGCUAUGCCUCAGCGAAAUCAUAUACAUACAUACAUAUGUAUACAUAUAUGUGUGUGUGUGUGUAGAUAGAUAGAGAGAGAGAGAGAGAGAGAGAGAGAAAGAGAGAUUUUACACAUUACAUUAUACAUAUACACACACAUAUACACACAUAUAUAUAUAUAUACACACAUAAAUACAUACAUACAUCAAGCAUAUAUAUAAAUAUUCAUAUAUAUGUAAAUACGUAUAAACAUAAUCUCUCUGUCUCUCUCUCUGUCUGUGUCUGUCUCUCUGUCUCUCUCUGUCUCUCUGUCUCUCUCUCUCUCUCUCUCUCUCUCUCUCUCUCUCUGUAUGUGAGAGAGAGAGAGAGAAAGCAAACCAUAUAAAAUUCCCUGUACCAGGACAUUCAGCUGGCUAGGAAUAACAGUUACAUGUCCUUUCGUAAUGGGAAUUAUACACACUUGGAUAAUGCAAUUAUCCCGUACAGUGUAACAGGAUUUUGAAAGCGAGUUGACAAAAAGUUACAUCCUAAAAUCGCUUUCAGUAAAGUUGGUCUCAUGCUAAACUGUUCACUUGAGCAAUUUCAUUUGAGCUGUUAUAUGAAGUGGGGGGUGGAAGGGGGUUAAAGUAACAUUGUUUGCAACAGAAAUGACAAGGUUUGUAGAACGGCAUUGCAGGAUCAAGUCUUAUACGAGGCUGAACUACAUCACAAAACUAAAACAGGAUUAAAGACAAUGACAAAUACUGGAUAGGAUUCUGAUUUCAAUUUAAUAUAAGUAUGUGUGUGUGCGUAUACAAGUUUUUGUGUAUAUAUGGAUGUGUGUAUCGGUAUGUAUAUAAAUAUAAUAUAUAUAUACAGAGAGAGAGAGAGAGAGAGACAUAUUUAUACAUGGGUAGACGGAAUGAUAUAUAUGUAUAUUAUAUAUCUCUUUUACUCUUUUACUCUUUUACUUGUUUCAGUCAUUUGACUGCGGCCAUGCUGGAGCACCGCCUUUAGUCGAGCAUAUCGACCCCGGGACUUAUUCUUUGUAAGCCCAGUACUUAUUCUAUCGGUCUCCUUUGCCGAACCGCUAAGUGACGUGGACGUAAACACACCAGCAUCGGUUGUCAAGCAAUGCUAGGGGGACAAACACAGACACACAAACACACAUAUAUAUAUAUAUACAUAUAUACGACAGGCUUCUUUCAGUUUCCGUCUACCAAAUCCACUCACAAGGCAUUGGUCGGCCCGGGGCUAUAGCAGAAGACACUUGCCAAGGAUGCCACGCAGAGGGACUGAACCCGGAACCAUGUGGUUGGUUAGCAAGCUACUUACCACACAGCCACUCCUGCGCCUAUAUAUAUAGUUUUUGGCCAGUAUUGGCCCAGGCCAUGUCUAACUUGAUAGCACCACAUGGCGAAGUCUUUCAAUUCAAGAUCUGGGCACCAAGGCCCAUUCGAGCAGAGAGUUGUUGUUUGUAGAGACAUAUCCGGGUGUGGGUGGUUUGUCCGGGACUGUUUGAAGGAAUUUGUCCACAGACUUCUUGAAUUUUGUGUGGUCAGUUUCUGUUUUGAUGUGUUCUGGUAUAAUGUUGAAGAGAGCGGGUCCAAUUGAGGUGAAAUAAUUGUGCCGUAUUGUUGUUAUGAGAUGCGAUUUAGAUUUUUGUUGUGGACGGAUGGCACGGGGUAAAAUAUAUAUAUAUAUAUACAUAUAUAUAUAUAUACAUAUUUAUACAUAGGUAGACGGAAUGAUAUAUAUAUCUUUAAAUAUAAUAUAUCUAUAAAUAUAUAAAUAUAUAAUAUAUAUAUUAUAUACCUAUAAAUAUUUAUAUAUAUAUAUAUAUUAUAUAUCUAUAAAUAAAUAUAUGUAUAUAUAUAUUAUAUAUCUAUAAAUAAAUAUAUAUAUAUUAUAUAUCUAUAAAUAAAUAUAUAUAUAUUAUAUAUCUAUAAAUAUAUAUAUAAUAUAUAUAUAUAUAUUAUAUAUCUAUAAAUAUAUAAAUAUAUAUAUAGAUAUAUAUAUUUAUAUAUAAUAGUUAUAUAUUUAUAUA